UGAAUGGCUUGACGAGAAAUCAACUGUCUCUUAAUAAUUUUUAAAAUUUAACUUUUGAGUCAAAAGGCUUAAAUUUUUCUUUAGGACGAGAAGACCCUAUAGAGCUUAACAUUUUAUUUUUAUAUAGUUUUUAGUUGAUCUUUCUAUAUUUAAUGAUAAUGUUUUGUUGGGGUGACAUGAAGAAUAAUUAAACUCUUCGUUAUAAAAUCAUUGAUUUAUGUUUAUCAUGAUCCAUAAUUUAUGAUCAUAAGAUUAAGUUACCUUAGGGAUAACAGCGUAAUUGUUUUCGAGAGCUCAUAUCGACAAAGCAGAUUGCGACCUC
rnacentral:rRNA from 1 species